AUUAGAUAAAAAACCAAUGCCCUUCAGGGCUUCUUGGUGAUUCAUAAUAACUUAUCAAAUCACAUGGCCUUGCACUGGCAAUGGUUUAUUCAAAUUUCUGCCCUAUCAACUUUUGAUGGUAGAAUAGUGGCCUACCAUGAUGGCAACAGGUAACAGGGAAUUAGAGUUUGAUUCUGGAGAGGAAGCCUGAGAAAUGGCUACCACAUCUAAGAAAGGCAGCAGGCGCGCAAAUUAUCUAAUCCCAAUAUGGGGAGGUAGUGACAAUAAAUACUGAUACAGGGCUCUUUCAGGUCUUGUAAUUGGAAUGAGUACAAUUUAAACACCUUAACAAGAAGCAAUUGGAGAGCAAGUCUGGUGCCAGCAGCUGUGGUAAUUCCAGCUCCAAUAGCAUAUAUUAAAGUUGUUGCAGUUAAAAAGCUCAUAGUUGAACCUUGGAUCUGGCUGGCUGGUCUGCCUUAUCACAUGCACUGGUCUGGCUGGAUCUUUCCUUCUGGGGAGUCCCAUGAACUUUAUUGGC
rnacentral:rRNA from 1 species